CGAAAAUAAAUACUUCAAAUAAAAACUGCAGACUCUAUAGUAGCAAGAAAAGGGGUGUAGAAAUGCCAGCUAGGCUAAAUAAUCACUAAAAGUGAUUGGAAUACAGCCAUAUGAGGUAAUACUGAAAAUCUAUUGCAAUAUCAGUCACUGACCAUGUGAGGGAAAAAUUUACAAAAAUUGCAUACAAAAAAAAAAUUAUAUAUAUACACACACUAUACAGAAAAAUGUAUACAAGAAAUAAAAUAGAAUUACAAAACUACACUGCCAAAAUGGUAUAUGCCAGUGUCGGAGGACCUAAUUGAUCACUAUAACCAAGUCCCUAGAGGUAAAUGGAGUCUAGAGAAAUAUCACCAAAAACAAAGAAAACAUAGGCAAGACAUAUUGUACACAAUAUACAGAUACCCUAUGGUACAAAGCUGUACAGGAAAAGAGGCUCAGGACGAUGAUCCUAGACUACCGGGAUGAGAGAGCUGUAUAGUAUCAGAGAAAAACUGCAUAAACAAUAUUCUCAUUUAAUCCUCUGGGUGUUACUGUGUCCAGUUGAUAUGUCCAUUUUGCUUCCCGUUGAAGUAACAUUCUUGAUCUAUCACCACCCCUCGGAGGAGGUGGGAUAUGAUCAAUCGCUGUGAAGCGUAAUGAUGGUAGUCUGUGUGUUAAAGCCAAAAAAUGUUUGGCUACUGGUUUGUCGCUGUAGUUAUCCCGAUAGGCAGUGGUGGUGAUAGUUGACCGAUGUCCACGUAUCCUAUCUCUCAGGGUGAGGUUAGUUUUGCCCACAUACGAUAGUCCGCACGGACAGGUAAUAAGGUAUAUUACGUAGUCUGUGGUACAUGUUAUAUGAUGUCGGAUGUUAAUUCUUUCGCAACUGUGAGGAUGUGCGAAUGACUUGCCACUAACCAUGUGGCUGCACGUCACACACCCACUACACUUGUAGCAUCCUUUCUUGGUGAUAUUUGAUAUAGGCUGGUAGCAAUGAAGUGGGUCAUUCCUGACCAAAAUAUCUUUAAGACUUCUGUUCCUCUUAUAGCUGAAAAUCUGUCGUUCUCGAAAUAUUUUUGGAAGUUUAUCUGAUUGUAGUAGUCCCCAGUUCUUGUUAACAGAAUGUUUCACCGUAGAAAUGCCCGUAUGGAAUGUGAGCGGGAGAAACAUCCUAGAUGUUGGUGUUGCAUUAGUUUUGGUUACUUCAUUAUUUUCAGAUUCCCAUAUUUCAAUGGCACGAGUUUGGGCUUUCUGGAGAGUCUGAACCUGAUAUCCCCUUGCCCUGAAUCUAUUCCACAUUUGUUGAAACUGAAUGUCACGAUUUUCAGAAGUAGUGUUGUAUCUGAGAACUCUGAGGAAUUGAGAUAUGGGUAAUGAAGCCUUAAAUUGUCUGGUAUGGAAGCUGGAUGCCAUCAAUAGUGUAUUGCGGUCCGUCUCUUUACGGUAUAGCAUGAACUCCAAUUUUCCACGAUAUUUGUAGAUAGUGACAUCCAAAAACUGGAUGGACUGUGUGUCGUAUUGCAUACUCAAUUUCACAGAGGUAGGAGCAAGGUUGAUCUCAGUAAGCAUGUUCUUCAAUGACUCCAUAGUACCUGUCCAUACUAAAAAUAUGUCGUCCACAAAGCGAUGGUAAUGUUGUAUGGAGUCUCAAAAUUUCUGGAAGAUGUAUUUAUUUUCAAAUGUGUACAUAAAAGCGUUGGCGUAAGAGGGCGCCAUCGCCGCUCCCAUCACUGUCCCCGAGAGUUGUAGAAAAAAUUGUUUUUCAAAUUUAAAAUAAUUACAGGUCAAAGCAAUAUGUAGGAAUUCCAGUAAGAAUUCAAUGGGAGGUCCUGUGUAUACUGUGGAUUCACUCAAAACCGUUCUGGAACGUUCCCCCUUGCUUCUAUAGAGUCUGCAGUUUUUAUUUGAAGUAUUUAUUUUCGUGUAUUUACAUGAUAUACAGAGUAUAUGGAGUAGUCCUUUUUUCUUGUUCCUUUUUUUUUUUUUCUGUUCUGUCUUGAAUGUGGUUUUAGUCCACUAUCUAUAGAUUAUCAUUGAAUACCCAGU
rnacentral:lncRNA from 1 species